UACUAUGGAACAGUUCUGCGCCGAGUA
rnacentral:sRNA from 1 species